AUUCGCGAGAUUUUAUAACGUACCGGACCCUUGUGCGCCGGUCACGGAUGGCCCCUACCGGCGAGGCUACGGUAGACCGCGGAGGUAUGGCACACGCUCCGAUCAGAAAAGACUCACCGAGGGGAAUACUCGGGUGGCCGUUAUGCUUUGGCGCGACAGGUUGCUGUAAAAGUUCGAAAAGGACCGUCUUCGGUUUUUCUUCGAACGUUCGGGAAAAUGAAGAAAGUAGAAAACAGACCAUCUCAAGCAAUGAAAUUCAUCAUAGUUAGAAAGGCAGCGGAUGCCUGCUCAAGCACUCAAUUAAG